UCUAAAUUCAAAUUCUGUAAAUAAUGAUUGACAUUUAUGCAUAAACUAUGAAAAGGGUGAAUAAACAAUUGUCUGUAUUUUUUUUAAUCUAUUGAAAAUGUUGUAAAGUGCAUUAAGCAUUAAUAGAAAUUCCUCAAAUAUUUAUGCGUGCGUUCAGAAAUAAUGACAAAUUAUCAACAGUUACGCGUGUGUUCAGAAAUUUAUUUUGUGUAAAUUAAAGUUUCUAUUCACGUUUUCGAACAAACGAUGCUCUUUCAAUAUAGUCUAUUGGUGUGAAUGACAUUGACAUUCGUAUUGCGCGUUUUUUAAAAUAUGCAAAAUUAAAUGUAUAUUUUUCAAUAUUUCUGAAAGAUUAUCUUAAUAUUUUUUCGAGUUUUAAAGACUAAGAAGAUUUUUACUUGCUAAUAAGUGUUUGUUAAUCAAGGUAAGUUCGCAUCUUCAUAUUGAUUUUUAGUAACUUUUGGUGACUACACAAUACUACAAUUUGGUGUACAUGGUUAUGCAGAAAAUGUAUGAAAGCUUUUUAUUUUCAGUUGGAAUUUCGUUUUUAACAAUGCUACCAACCAGACGUACAAGCUUAGGCCGCAGAACUCGAAAUACGGCAAGUCAAAGAAAUAUAAGAGCAAAUCAAACUGAUGAGCAACGCGAAGCGCGAAAUGAACUUGAACUGAAUCGAUAUCAAGAUAGAAAUGUUGUGUUUAAUCCCCACAAAGCUGCAUUCAGUUAUAAUGUGGCAAUUGAUUACAGUUCAGAGCAAAUUGUUGCUAUUGGACUAAUGAACAUUGUGUGUCCACAUUGGGAUUGAAAUUCAAAAAUGAAGCCUCUGGAUUGUGUUGCACCAGCGGCCAAGUCAAAUUGACGCCAUUGGUACCGCCACCAGAGCCACUACAUUCAUUGGUUAAUUUUUUGACUCAUAUCUAGCAGUACAAUAAUUGCUUUCAAAUGACAUCAUUUGGGGCAACAAAAGUUAUACGAGACAAUUUUAUGCCUACUUUUAGUAAAUUCAGGGAUUCAAAUACAUCAUCAAACAGGUUCCUUAUUGCCAGUGCCUGUUGAAGACUGUACAUUUUUGCAAAUAUAUUUUAUGGACAAUUCAGCAAGAGAAGUCAGUCAGCGUUGCGCACACAACAACUCAGUAAAAAGAUCCAUUGUGAUGAACAACUUCAAACAUAUUUCCACCAACACAAUGAAUUAGUUGCAUUAUUCACAAAUGCAUUAGACCGCAUGCCAUCAGAUAAUCACAAAAUUGUCAUCAGAGCCGAUAAGGCGCCUGCAGGACAAAAUGCUGGACAUUUUAAUGUGCCAACAAUUGAUAAAGAGCGCGCGUGGUAUUUAGCUCAAUGUUUACUUAAAAAUGCCAAGUUCUUCAAUAGCGAUUUGUAAAAAUAUUAGUGAAAUUAUUGAAUCCUAUGGAAUAAACACUAUUAUGAAAAUA